rnacentral:rRNA from 1 species
AUUGAACGCUGGCGGAAUGCUUUACACAUGCAAGUCGAACGGCAGCACGGGGGUAGCCCUGGUGGCGAGUGGCGAACGGGUGAGUAAUACAUCGGAACGUGCCCGGUCGUGGGGGAUAACGUAGCGAAAGUUACGCUAAUACCGCAUACGAUCUGAGGAUGAAAGCGGGGGACCUUCGGGCCUCGCGCGAUCGGAGCGGCCGAUGUCAGAUUAGGUAGUUGGUGGGGUAAAGGCCUACCAAGCCGACGAUCUGUAGCUGGUCUGAGAGGACGACCAGCCACACUGGGACUGAGACACGGCCCAGACUCCUACGGGAGGCAGCAGUGGGGAAUUUUGGACAAUGGGCGCAAGCCUGAUCCAGCCAUUCCGCGUGCAGGACGAAGGCCUUCGGGUUGUAAACUGCUUUUGUACGGAACGAAAAGGCUCUGGCUAAUACCUGGGGCUCAUGACGGUACCGGAAGAAUAAGCACCGGCUAACUACGUG